CGUUGCUAUACAUGCAGUCGAACGAACUCUGGUAUUGAUUGGUGCUUGCAUCAUGAUUUACAUUUGAGUGAGUGGCGAACUGGUGAGUAACACGUGGGAAACCUGCCCAGAAGCGGGGGAUAACACCUGGAAACAGAUGCUAAUACCGCAUAACAACUUGGACCGCAUGGUCCGAGUUUGAAAGAUGGCUUCGGCUAUCACUUUUGGAUGGUCCCGCGGCGUAUUAGCUAGAUGGUGAGGUAACGGCUCACCAUGGCAAUGAUACGUAGCCGACCUGAGAGGGUAAUCGGCCACAUUGGGACUGAGACACGGCCCAAACUCCUACGGGAGGCAGCAGUAGGGAAUCUUCCACAAUGGACGAAAGUCUGAUGGAGCAACGCCGCGUGAGUGAAGAAGGGUUUCGGCUCGUAAAACUCUGUUGUUAAAGAAGAACAUAUCUGAGAGUAACUGUUCAGGUAUUGACGGUAUUUAACCAGAAAGCCACGGCUAACUACGUGCCAGCAGCCGCGGUAAUACGUAGGUGGCAAGCGUUGUCCGGAUUUAUUGGGCGUAAAGCGAGCGCAGGCGGUUUUUUAAGUCUGAUGUGAAAGCCUUCGGCUCAACCGAAGAAGUGCAUCGGAAACUGGGAAACUUGAGUGCAGAAGAGGACAGUGGAACUCCAUGUGUAGCGGUGAAAUGCGUAGAUAUAUGGAAGAACACCAGUGGCGAAGGCGGCUGUCUGGUCUGUAACUGACGCUGAGGCUCGAAAGUAUGGGUAGCAAACAGGAUUAGAUACCCUGGUAGUCCAUACCGUAAACGAUGAAUGCUAAGUGUUGGAGGGUUUCCGCCCUUCAGUGCUGCAGCUAACGCAUUAAGCAUUCCGCCUGGGGAGUACGGCCGCAAGGCUGAAACUCAAAGGAAUUGACGGGGGCCCGCACAAGCGGUGGAGCAUGUGGUUUAAUUCGAAGCUACGCGAAGAACCUUACCAGGUCUUGACAUACUAUGCAAAUCUAAGAGAUUAGACGUUCCCUUCGGGGACAUGGAUACAGGUGGUGCAUGGUUGUCGUCAGCUCGUGUCGUGAGAUGUUGGGUUAAGUCCCGCAACGAGCGCAACCCUUAUUAUCAGUUGCCAGCAUUAAGUUGGGCACUCUGGUGAAACUGCCGGUGACAAACCGGAGGAAAGGUGGGGAUGACGUCAAAUCCUCAUGCCCCUUAUGACCUGG
rnacentral:rRNA from 2 species